AAGACUAUAGACCUGCGGAGUACCUGCGGAGGGAUCAUUACUGAGUUUCACAACUCUCUAACCCUGUGUGAACUGAAGUCUGGUUGCUCAGGCAGGCGGCCCCCGGGGGGAGCCGCAGCUUCUCUGAAGCGCCUGCCGGAGGAUACCUAAACUCGUUUUAACAUAUAAUCUUCUGAGUAAUAAAAAAAAAUGAAUCAAAACUUUCAACAACGGAUCUCU
rnacentral:misc_RNA from 1 species